AGAGUUUGAUCCUGGCUCAGGAUGAACGCUAGCGGCAGGCUUAAUACAUGCAAGUCGAGGGGUAACGACAUCUUCGGAUGGGCGACGACCGGCGCACGGGUGCGUAACACGUAUGCAACCUACCUUCAACUGGGGAAUAGCCCCGAGAAAUCGGGAUUAAUACCCCAUAAUAUUUAUCAUUCGCAUGUUUGAUAAAUUAAAACUCCGGUGGUUGAAGAUGGGCAUGCGCGACAUUAGUUAGUUGGUGAGGUAACGGCUCACCAAGACAGCGAUGUCUAGGGGUUCUGAGAGGAACAUCCCCCACACUGGUACUGAGACACGGACCAGACUCCUACGGGAGGCAGCAGUAAGGAAUAUUGGUCAAUGGACGAAAGUCUGAACCAGCCAUGCCGCGUGCAGGAUGACAGCCCUAUGGGUUGUAAACUGCUUUUAUAUAGGAAGAAACUUUCGUACGUGUACGAAACUGACGGUACUAUAUGAAUAAGGACCGGCUAACUCCGUGCCAGCAGCCGCGGUAAUACGGAGGGUCCAAGCGUUAUCCGGAUUCAUUGGGUUUAAAGGGUGCGCAGGUGGACCGAUAAGUCAGUGGUGAAAUCCUACAGCUCAACUGUAGAACUGCCAUUGAUACUGUCGAUCUUGAGUAUAGUUGAAGUGGGCGGAAUAUAUCAUGUAGCGGUGAAAUGCAUAGAUAUGAUAUAGAACUCCGAUAGCGAAGGCAGCUCACUAACCUAUGACUGACGCUCAGGCACGAAAGCGUGGGGAGCAAACAGGAUUAGAUACCCUGGUAGUCCACGCCGUAAACGAUGAUCACUCGUUGUUGGCAAUACAUCGUCAGCGACUGAACGAAAGUAUUAAGUGAUCCACCUGGGAAGUACGAUCGCAAGGUUGAAACUCAAAGGAAUUGACGGGGGCCCGCACAAGCGGAGGAGCAUGUGGUUUAAUUCGAUGAUACGCGAGGAACCUUACCUGGGCUUAAAUGUUUAAUGACCGACUGGGAAACCGGUCUUCUCUUCGGAGCGUUUUACAAGGUGCUGCAUGGUUGUCGUCAGCUCGUGCCGUGAGGUGUCGGGUUAAGUCCCAUAACGAGCGCAACCCCUAUUCUUAGUUGCCAUCAGGUCAAGCUGGGGACUCUAAGAAAACUGCCUACGCAAGUAGUGAGGAAGGUGGGGAUGACGUCAAAUCAGCACGGCCCUUAUGUCCAGGGCUACACACGUGCUACAAUGGUCGGUACAGAGGGUCGCUACAUGGUGACAUGAUGCUAAUCUCGAAAACCGAUCUCAGUUCGGAUCGAAGUCUGCAACUCGACUUCGUGAAGCUGGAUUCGCUAGUAAUCGCAUAUCAGCAAUGGUGCGGUGAAUAC
rnacentral:rRNA from 1 species